AUGGUGGCCCUGGGGCUCCUGCUUCCCAUCUGUGCUUCUCAGUGGCCCUGCCUGGAGAACAGCCCACAGCCCAGGGCCCUCCCAGCAGAUGAUGAGUCUGGGCUCCUGGUCGGGUCCAAGGAGCUGGGGCAAUACCAUGAGUCUGGGUUCUUCAUCCCCAGGGACCUGGGGAGCUCCCCCCCACCACCACCGCCCGCCCGACUCAGGGAAAGGGGAGAGCAAAGUGUGGGAGAAAUAGGUGGGGUCAAGCAGCAAGAGAUAAGGGGCCAGGGUAUAAAAAGGGCCACAAGAGACCAGCUCCAGAUCCCAAGGCCCGACUCCCGAACACUAGGUCCUGCGGACAGCCCACCUAGCUGCAAUGGCUGCAGGAGGGAGAAAAAAAAAACAGCUCCUGGAGCAGGGACAGCACUGGCAUCUUGCUCUCCAUUCCCUCUGUUGCCCUCCGGUUUCUCCCCAGGCUCCUGGACAUGCCUAAUUCUGGCUAUUGCCCUGCUCUGCCUACCUUGGCUUCAAGAGGCAGUGCCUUCCCAACCAUUCCCUUAUCCUGGCUUUUUACACCGCUGUGCUUCCGCGCCCAUCACCUGCACAAGCUGGCAUUGACACGUACCCGAAGUUGUAAGCCUCUUGGGGAAUGGGAAGAAGCCUAUAUCCCAAAGGAACAGAAGUAUUCAUUCCUGCGCAACCCCCAGACCUCCUCUGCUUCUCAGAGUCUAUUCCGACACCCUCCAACAAGGAGGAAACACAGCAGAAAUCCAACCUAGAGCUGCUCCACAUCUCCCUGCUGCUCAUCCAGUCGUGGCUGGAGCCCGUGCAGUCCUCAGGAGUGUGUUUACCAACACCUGGUGUAUCACUCGAACUUCACAUCUAUCUCUACCUAAAGAACUAGAGGAAGGCAUCCAAACGCUGAUGGGGAGGCUGGAAGACGGCAGCCCCCGGACUGGGCAGAUCUUCAAGGAGACCUACAGCAAGUAUGACACAAACUCGCACAACGAUGACACACUGCUCAAGAACUACAGGCUGCUCUACUGCUUCAGGAAGGACAUGAACAAGGUCGAGACAUUCCUGCGCACCGUGCGGUGCCGCGCUGUGGAGGGCAGCUGUGGCUUCUAGAUGCCUGGGUGGCAUCCCUUGUGACCCCUCCCAAUUGCCACUCCUGGCCAUGGAAGGUGCCACUCCAGUGUCCAACAGCCUUGUCCUAAUAAAAUUAAGUUGCAUCAUUU